rnacentral:lncRNA from 10 species
AUUUUUAAAAACAGCUGUAAUCUGCGGUCAUUGAUGGUGGAGUAGAUUGUUUGCCAAACUAUUACCAUAACUGUCAACCGAAAUCAGAAAAAUAAUCUCAUUGUGCUGGACAGAUGCGUUUCCUGCAUUAUUGAUAUAGUCACUCUGGAGUAAUAGAGAAAUAUAAAGCAUUGUUCUAUUUACAAAAGGAGAUUGGCCAAGUCCUUGAAAGAUCCCCUGAAAUGCUGGGCACACUGACUAGCCUCUUGUAUAGAGUCUCAAGCCUGUGGCCAGAAGCAGCUGUGUGAAGUAGCCGCUGUGAUGGAUUGGGACCACAGAUACCACUUUGGAAGGAAAGGUUCCAGAAACCAAAGCUUGGGCCAUGGGUCUCUGGGAAACUGCAGCAGGAGUUUAGAGUCUAAUGGAUGGAACACAGAAGCAGGAAAAAAAUUGCUGUAGAAUAUGAUAAAGAUUAAUAGAGGCUUUGGGAAAGGCCUGUUUCCUGGCACUAAAAGUAGCCAGUCUUGGCGUGAACAGCCCUUGACAAUUCCCAGCAUAUGGUAAGAGAAGACGCUUCUGCCCACCCAUCAGUCUAGGAAAAGAUAGCAGCUGGUAGUUUUCACAUAACUGGAAAAAAAGUGCUUGCUAAGGAGAGGGAGUAAGAGGCCACUUGGAAGAUAUUGGUGGGGCCAUUGGCAAGAAGCUGACCAAAAUCUCUGCUACAAUUUUUUGGAAGUAAAAAUAGGAAGACUUCAUGAUCAGCAACCUCAACCACAAUGAAUGCAACUCAUAAUCAAGCUAUUUUGUCUCUCAGCAUGCUCUCACUCUCCCUAAGACACAGCUCAUAUUUUUAUCUCUUCUCAGAACUCCCAUCCAUGCUUCUUCCUCCUCCUUGACUUCAGUAAAUGACUUCUCUUAAAACUCUCCCAAGAUGAGAUAGAAGCCAUCAGAA